CGGUUGCUAGACGAUGCGACAGGUUGAUAUAUCUCUGGGGCUAUAAUCAAUCCUUUGGGAGCUACCGCUGUUGAGGUCGUGGCCUCGAUAUAGUGGCACCCACCUGUAUUCACAGGCCACAGAGGAUACUCUUUGCCAACGGUCGAUUUGGCUUCCGU
rnacentral:other from 2 species